GGAUUAGAUACCCUGGUAGUCCACGCCGUAAACGAUGUCGGCUAGACGCUGGGCAGCAAGCUGUUCGGUGUCGGCGCUAACGCAUUAAGCCGACCGCCUGGGGAGUACGGCCGCAAGGUUAAAACUCAAAGGAAUUGACGGGGGCCCGCACAAGCGGUGGAGCAUGUGGUUUAAUUCGAUGCAACGCGCAGAACCUUACCAGCCCUUGACAUGGGACGUUUGGGUUCCGGAGACGGAAUUCUUCAGUUCGGCUGGCGUCCACACAGGUGCUGCAUGGCUGUCGUCAGCUCGUGCCG
rnacentral:rRNA from 1 species